CCUGCCCCUAGGGCUGUUGCAGGUGUGGCUUCCGGGUCACACAUGCCUCUCAGUAGGUGGCAAAGAGGAGAGAGGCUACAUCUACACUCAGCGGUCUGACCUGUGAACAUCUGAGGGAUUAGUAGCUGAGCAUU